rnacentral:hammerhead_ribozyme from 1 species
GCAUUGUUGAGGAGUCCCAUAAUAAGACGAAACGGCCGUUCAGUGC